AGUAAGUGCACAAAGGCAUACACGGCUACCGAGAACAAACUUCUUUCCGAGUGUUGGUGAGACAUUGGACAAGACCCCAAGACGGGCGCCGAACAAAAGCAUUCAACCUUUUGGAUUUGUGUCCACCGAGAAUUUCAUGAGCGCAAGAAGUUUCCGCCUUACCAACUUAUGAGCACACGCAGGUGGGUGUCCAUUUCCAAGCGAUUGAGGGUGAUCCAACAAGAGUGCAACAAGUUUUGCGCCAUUCUUGAGAGCAUCAAGGCCCGCCCCGUGAGCGGCAUCGACAUGCAAGACAUGGUAUGCUAG
rnacentral:rRNA from 1 species